rnacentral:rRNA from 1 species
CGUUGCUUCGGCGGGAACAGACGGCCCUGUAACAACGGGCCGCCCCCGCCAGAGGACCCCCUAACUCUGUUUCUAUAAUGUUUUUUCUGAGUAAAACAAGCAAAUAAAUUAAAACUUUCAACAACGGAUCUCUUGGCUCUGGCAUCGAUGAAGAACGCAGCGAAAUGCGAUAAGUAAUGUGAAUUGCAGAAUUCAGUGAAUCAUCGAAUCUUUGAACGCACAUUGCGCCCGCCAGUAUUCUGGCGGGCAUGCCUGUUCGAGCGUCAUUACAACCCUCAGGCCCCCGGGCCUGGCGUUGGGGAUCGGCGGAGAAGCCCCCUGUGGGCAGACACGCCGCCCCCUAAAUACAGUGGCGGUCCCGCCGCAGCUUCCAUUGCGUAGUAGCUAACACCUCGCAACUGGAGAGCGGCGCGGCCACGCCGUAAAACACCCAACUUCUGAAUGUUGACCUCGAAUCAGGUAGGAAUACCCGCUGAACUUAAGCAUAUCAAUA